GACGAACGCUGGCGGCGUGCUUAACACAUGCAAGUCGAACGGAAAGGCCCUGCUUUUGUGGGGUGCUCGAGUGGCGAACGGGUGAGUAACACGUGAGUAACCUGCCCUUGACUUUGGGAUAACUUCAGGAAACUGGGGCUAAUACCGGAUAGGAGCUACUGCUGCAUGGUGGGGGUUGGAAAGUUUCGGCGGUUGGGGAUGGACUCGCGGCUUAUCAGCUUGUUGGUGGGGUAGUGGCUUACCAAGGCUUUGACGGGUAGCCGGCCUGAGAGGGUGACCGGCCACAUUGGGACUGGGAUGCGGCACAGACUCCUACGGGAGGCAGCAGUGGGGAAUAUUGCACUAUGGGCGGAAGCCUGAUGCAGCAACGCCGCGUGCGGGAUGACGUCCUUCGGGUUGUAAACCGCUUUCGCCUGUGACGAAGCGUGAGUGACGGUAAUGGGUAAAGAAGCACCGGCUAACUACGUG
rnacentral:rRNA from 1 species